rnacentral:rRNA from 1 species
AGAUUGAACGCUGGCGGCAUGCCUUACACAUGCAAGUCGAACGGCAGCACGGGAGCAAUCCUGGUGGCGAGUGGCGAACGGGUGAGUAAUAUAUCGGAACGUGCCCAGUCGUGGGGGAUAACGCAGCGAAAGCUGUGCUAAUACCGCAUACGAUCUAUGGAUGAAAGCGGGGGAUCGCAAGACCUCGCGCGAUUGGGAGCGGCCGAUAUCAGAUUAGCUAGUUGGUGGGGUAAAAGCCUACCAAGGCGACGAUCUGUAGCUGGUCUGAGAGGACGACCAGCCACACUGGAACUGAGACACGGUCCAGACUCUACGGGAGGCAG